ACAAAUUGAUUCCACAUCUCUACGUCUUGUGAACUGUUAUCUUGCCCAUGCCGGCACGCUCUUUGUGUCGUCCGGCAUGUUUAUGUCAACGUUGAUCUGCCUGAAAGACUGAGACUUUAUAUACAAAAUAUAAAGA
rnacentral:misc_RNA from 1 species